UAUUUUGGAAAGAGGUGCAAAGAAGACUGCAGAGAUGAAUGAAAAGCUCUCCAAGAUGGGCGAAAGCUCACUUAGAAACUUUACAAUGGAUACAGAGUCAAGUGUUUAUAACUUCGAAGGAGAAGACUAUAGAGAAAAACAAAAGGUAAUUUAGAAAUAGGUUUGGGUUACAUGAAAGCUUUGUUUUACUGGAAACUUGGAAUUUUAAGUGUUACUGUAAUGUCUUAUAAUUUUGCUUAAAACUAGUCAUUUUUGCUUAUUCACAUCUGAAUAUUUUCAUCAUUAUGUAAAAUUUAAUGCCAGUUUUUCAGUUGGUAAGCUCUGAAAUAUUUUUAAAGUUUUUGUUAUGAAGUUUGUGGUAUAUGUUUACAGUGAAAUAUAUUCUUGUAUGGGAUGAAUAGUAAUUUGGGUUGGUAACCUGAUUCAUUUUAUUUUAAACAGCAGAAUUGGCUGGUAAUAAAGGGAAAAAUUUCUUAACUUCAUAAGUAAUACUUGGUAAUAUAGAGAUAAAUUGAAAAAUACUCAUA
rnacentral:sRNA from 1 species